rnacentral:rRNA from 1 species
GACGAACGCUGGCGGCGUGCUUAACACAUGCAAGUCGAACGAUGAACCCGGAGCUUGCUCCGGUGGAUUAGUGGCGAACGGGUGAGUAACACGUGAGUAACCUGCCCUUGACUCUGGGAUAACUGCGGGAAACUGUAGCUAAUACCGGAUACGACCCUCGGCGGCAUCGCCAGGGGGUGGAAAGAAUUUCGGUCAGGGAUGGACUCGCGGCCUAUCAGCUAGUUGGUGAGGUAACGGCUCACCGAGGCGACGACGGGGAGCCGGCCGGAGAGGGUGCCCGGCCACACUGGGACUGAGACACGGCCCAGACUCCUACGGGGGGCAGCAGUGGGGAAUAUUGCACAAUGGGCGCAGGCCUGAUGCAGCAACGCCGCGUGAGGGAUGACGGCCUUCGGGUUGUAAACCUCUUUUAGUAGGGAAGAAGCGAAAGUGACGGUACCUGCAGAAAAAGCACCGGCUAACUACGUGCCAGCCGCCGCCGUAA